CCUAUACGUUGCCUCGGCGGAUCAGCCCGCGCCCUGUAAAACGGGACGGCCCGCCCGAGGACCCUAAACUCUGUUUUUAGUGGAACUUCUGAGUAAAACAAACAAAUAAAUCAAAACUUUCAACAACGGAUCUCUUGGUUCUGGCAUCGAUGAAGAACGCAGCAAAAUGCGAUAAGUAAUGUGAAUUGCAGAAUUCAGUGAAUCAUCGAAUCUUUGAACGCACAUUGCGCCCGCCAGUAUUCUGGCGGGCAUGCCUGUUCGAGCGUCAUUUCAACCCUCAAGCUCAGCUUGGUGUUGGGACUCGCGGUAACCCGCGUUCCCCAAAUCGAUUGGCGGUCACGUCGAGCUUCCAUAGCGUAGUAAUCAUACACCUCGUUACUGGUAAUCGUCGCGGCCACGCCGUAAAACCCCAACUUCUGAAUGUUGACCUCGGAUCAGGUAGGAAUACCCGCUGAACUUAAGCAUAUCAAUAAGCGGAGGAA
rnacentral:rRNA from 1 species